CAGCUCCGCCCGCACCGCCCGCACCGCCGACACGCAGACCGGCAGCCCUGCUUCUUUAAACCGCUAAACUCACGUCGGUGGCUGUAAGGAAGACUUAUUGUCGACUUCAGAAACUUCUGAGGCAGCGGCGCGAAAUUGUGUGGGGAGAUGGGUAGGGGAACACUGCCCUCCUUUGGAGGGGGAAGUGCAGUGCCUAGUGGCGAGUGUGCUAACAAGAUGAGCCAUGCUUCCAGAAGAAAUUACAGGGGGGUAAUUUCAAAGGACAUGUGAGGGACUUAUCGGGAAUGCCUGCAAGAAAAUCGAUCUCAGGGUUCUGUAAGUACUUGGAUGAUAAAUUUACUUUGAACUCUUCAAACCACCACUGAACAACAGUGUCCAGUCUGUAAGGAGGGGCCACUACCCAGGAUAGAGAAAGCUGCAGAAAGUUGUAAUGUUGGCCAGCUCCAUUACGGGCACUGGCCUCUCCAGCGUCAAGAACAUGUUCAAAGAUCGGUGCCUCGGGAAGGCAGCAUCAACCGAUCACCCAGGACAUGCCCUCUUCUCAGUGUUACCAUCAGGGAGGAGGCACAGGGGCCCGAAGAAUCACAAUGAACUCCUCAGCAGCAGUUUCUUCCUGCACGCCACCUGAUUUCUGAAUGCACAAUAAACCGAUGAACCCUACAUCAUUACUUCCUACUGUGAUUUAUUAUUUUAUUAUUAUGUGCUUCAAUGCACUCCUGCCGCAGAGCAGCACUUUUCACAAAAUGUUGAACCUGACUCUGGCCGCCACCCUUUUGAAAAUGGUGCAGAAGAAAUUUACCAGGGACGGAAAACUUCUGUGAGUCAACUAAAGAAGCUGAGGUUGUUGUCCUUGGACAGAGGAGUAUGUGAGGGAGAUUGGAGAACUAUUUAAAAUAUUUAAAAGGGAAUGAACACAGAGAGAGAGACAGACAGACAGAGAGGGAAGGGGGAAGAGAGAGUGAGAGGGGGGUGAGAGAAGGGGAAGAGAGAGGGGUAGAAAGAGAAAGACAGACAGAAAGAGAGAGAGAGCAGCCAUUUAGAUUUUGUUUGACAAAUCCCAAAGCAAGCAUAAAUCAAAUCAUAGGGUAGCAGGAAAUAUUUUAACUUUACCUCUUGGUUUUGUCUGACUGAAGUAAUUGUUCUGUGUUCCAACUCUUCUGCAAACCUACUGGAAUCUCAGCGACCAGCAAUCCCAAUGACAUUGAGUGCAGACAGAGAGAGUCCCACCUUGCCACAAGUAAUCUUGCUUCCCAACCCCGCCCCGCUCAAAUAAUUUGUGACUUCUUUAUGCAACAAGUGAGAUUUGCAUUUCUUGAUCCUGCCUUUUAUCUGACAUCAGUGCCCAGAUCCAGGAAGCUGUUGUAGUUCCUGGUUUUAAAGUUGUAUUGUGACCAGAACAGGAUUCAGGUUUAAUAUCAGCAGCAUAUGUCGUGAAAUUCAUUGUUUUGUGGCAGCAGUACAUUGCAGGGAAUGCUUUACAUCUCUUCAACCUAAGAUUCAUAAACCUACCUGUCCAGGCAGACCCAUUGUCUCUGCUCGCUCCUGCCCCACUGAACUCAUUUCUGCCUAUCUGGACUCUGUUUUAUCUCCCCUUGUUCAAUCCCUUCCCACCUAUGUCCGUGAUACUUCCCAUGCUUUACAUCUCUUCAUUCCCAGCUCUCUACUUCAUCCCUCCCCUCACUUCUUAUCUCCCUCCACCAUCCCAUGUUACUUCACACCUGAUGAAGGGUUUCGGCCCGAAAUGUCGUCGCUCCCUCCUCCCAUAGAUGCUGUCUGGCCCGCCGAGUUCUGACAGCAUUUUGUGUUUUUAUUUAUUUCCAGCAUCUGCAAAUUCACUCGUGUGCAUUUUGUGUGUGUGUGUGUUGCUUGAGACAGCACCAAAACUGGAGAUGUGGUGGACAGCGAGGAAGACGAUCAAAGCUUGCAGUGGGAUCUGCACUACUGUCAGGGUGCAGCUGGAUCGGAGAAGGCAGGUUAAUGGUUUGGCAUGGAUUAGUUGGGCCAAAGGGCCUGUUUCAGUGCUUGGGUGCUUUCUCACUCUGUGUGUUUGUGCUUGCAUAGUUCUCCAGAUUUCCGGUGCAGAGCAUUCUGUUCAUUUGUACCAGAGCCUGGCAUGGAAACUCCAGUGCAAGAGGCUGCAGAGGGCUGUAGUCCCAGCCAGCUCCAUCAUGGGCACAGCCCUCUCCCAUCAUCAAGGACAUGCCUCAAGAAGGUGCCACUGAAGAGGGUGGUGCUGGGUGAUCGUUGCUCUUAAUGGGCGAGACUGAGAUCCUGAAAGUGAAUUUAAACCAGGACUGUUGUCUGAUCAAUACGUGGUUCCAUCUGCACUCUUUAAGAGUCAUAGAGAGAUACAGCAGUGAAACAGGCCUGUUGGCCCAUCACAUCCGUGUUGACCACCCGCACUCAGAGGUACACCUGUAUCUGCUCAGUACCUGUAAUACAAAUAAUUAAUCAACCAAUCAUGUGACAGCAACUCAAUGCAUAAAAGCAUGCUGACACGGUCAAGAGGUUCAGUUGUUGUCCAGACCAAACAUCAGAAUGGAGAAGAAAUGUGAUCUGAGUGACUUUGACCGUGGAAUGAUUGCUGCUGCCAGACGGGGUGGUUUGAGUAUCCCAGAAACUGCUGAUCUCCUGGGAGUUUCACACACAACAGUCUCCGGAGUUCACAGAGAAUGGUGGGCAGCUGUUCUCCUUGUGAAUGAGAGAGGCUGAGGAAAAUGGCCAGACUGGUCCAAGCUGAGAAGAAGGUGACAGCAACCCAAACAGCCACCUGUUAAAACGCUGGUGACGGAGGACCACCUGUGAACACAUAAUGUGCCCAACUUUGAAGUGGAUGGGCUACAGCAGCAGAUCAGAAACAUACACUCAGUGAGAAUUUCCUGUACCUAUCUAUCCAUUUAAACCCCUCCUAUGCCAAUACUGUUUUACACUCCCCCACUCUCAUCAACAAACCCCUCUCCUGAAUAUUCCCCCUGUAAAGGGGGUUUCUUCUUUUUCUUUGUUGCUGCCUAUGUUAAUCAAAAUGAUUUCUUUGUUUUGUUAAAAGUAGGAAUGCUUCUUUGUUGCGAGAGAGUGCUGGAAGCUUGUUUGGGUUAAAAUUUACAGGUAACGAGAAUUGUAUUCCUUUGAUAACCAAUUGGGAUUAAUGUUGUUCUUUCUUCUGAGUCUGUGAGCUAUUGUUGGCGGGCUUUUGGGGAGAUCGGCGCGAGGGGGUGAGAGAGAGAGGACGCGAUGCUGUAAAUGGGGCGAGGAACGUACCCCAAGUGGAGGUCCGAGGCCAUGAGGUACCCCGAGGAGAGGAGACCAAGACAGAUGUGCUUGGUUGACCACUUCAGAUGGUCCUGAGCUGUUUGGAGAGUCGAGGAGUUCGGAGGGGAUGGAAUGGUGGCCAGAAGACUUCAGUAAUUGAGCUCCAGCGGUUGUGCACGAAGUGGUUUGGACUUUGAUAAGUUUGGCGCCUUUUCUUUAUUUUCUUUUCCUUCAUGUGUACUGUAUCGUUAUUAAUUACUUAGUUAUAGUAAUCUUUAUAAACUGUAAUCAUUUAAUCACA